ACUUUCAAAAUCAAAUGAAAGAACUGGAUUAGUACGGGGCCAAGGAAGAGAAUAAGUGCACCAAUACAUACAUUCAUUUACUAACAGUCCUUGAGAUCUCGGAAGAUGUUGAGACCGGUCUGCAAUUUCUUUCCAUCGAUUAAAAGAAACGCCACCAAACUUGUUUAUGGUAAGAACCUCACAUUUUAGAUGUGAAACCCGAAGGAUGCCAAGAUUACAAUACCUUUUAGUCAUUGAAGGAACAAUAUAGAAAAAAAUGCACCACUUUGUAUUCCUUCCUUGAGUGAAGAUAUCCAAACCCAAAAUGUCUAUAUCCAGGGGUAUCAGGGACAGUAACAGUGUAUAACUCCUCCUUGCUUCCAUCCAUGUCAACUGAAACAAACCGUAACCAAGACUUUUUUGACC